GUGAAGUAAAGCUUGAAUUAAUCACUUCUUCUCAUACAUUAAUCUCUGCAGAAUAAAAAAUAUGUAGGAGAUAUUUGUGGAUAUUUUUCUAGCUAUGUUUGGGUAAAUGAAUCCUCUAAUUUAAAACUAUUUCCACUCAACAGUUGUCAUGUGGAUGGUAGAAACAAAAACUGAGUGUAAGCAGCCAAAGCACAGCUCAGGGAACAAACGUUGCUCUGGAGCGAGGCCGGACGCUUCCCCCUGGCCACCCAGGAAAGAUCCUGCGUGGGCCAAGCACAGCCACAAAGUUCAAUUCCAGCAGUGUAAAGGAAAGUGGCCUCUUUAAUCGAAGUCUUUGAGUCAGAGGAGUAGCGGUGAGGAACAUUGCCCUUAACGGGAGACGAGCCCUGAUGGGUGCCUGCCCCGCUCCUGACCUUGGGUGAGCAAAAGUGCUGUUAUGAAAUCCCACUCAGUCAAAUGGUUUGUGUGUGUUUUGUUUGGUUUUUUUUUCCCCUUUUUUUUUUUUUUUUUUUUAUACAGACAAACUCAUAACAUCAAAUCAUUAUUAAACUGCCAAGUUUCUGGAUGAUCAGAGCUGAUAAUUGCUUUCUCAUUUUAUUUAUUUAUUUAUUCAUAACAAGCAGGCAAAACACUGGCAAGUGUCAGCCAGAGCAGAACUUUGCUACAGCUGCCCACCUGAUUUUUUUUUUUUCUCUUUUUUCCCUAGGUCUUUAAGAAUUGAUCCGUCCCACUGACAUUUCUGUAUGUUUGCUGUAAUUUAGCUAUUUCAGCCUACUGUUUGAAGAUGCUUCUGGCUUUGUGGGGCUCAUGUGAAAUCAGAGAGGAAAUGGUCAUCGGCACGCCUCGAUAGCUGGGGUGUGUGUGUGGCAGGGGAGCUGACAGAAUUUGUGGUGGGUCUUUCACUGCAGAGUUUGAGAGAAAGUUUUUGCCCGGUUCGACAAAGAGCCUCAAAACCGAGAGAAUUUACCCGUGAGAAUAUCCGCCGUUGAAGUCAGUUUGGUUUU
rnacentral:lncRNA from 1 species